CCCUGAUGUUAGCGGCGGACGGGUGAGUAACACGUGGGUAACCUGCCUGUAAGACUGGGAUAACUCCGGGAAACCGGGGCUAAUACCGGAUGCUUGAUUGAACCGCAUGGUUCAAUUAUAAAAGGUGGCUUUUAGCUACCACUUACAGAUGGACCCGCGGCGCAUUAGCUAGUUGGUGAGGUAACGGCUCACCAAGGCAACGAUGCGUAGCCAACCUGAGAGGGUGAUCGGCCACACUGGGACUGAAACACGGCCCAAACUCCUACGGGAGGCAGCAGUAGGGAAUCUUCCGCAAUGGACGAAAGUCUGACGGAGCAACGCCGCGUGAGUGAUGAAGGUUUUCGGAUCGUAAAACUCUGUUGUUAGGGAAGAACAAGUACCGUUCGAAUAGGGCGGUACCUUGACGGUACCUAACCAGAAAGCCACGGCUAACUACGUGCCAGCAGCCGCGGUAAUACGUAGGUGGCAAGCGUUGUCCGGAAUUAUUGGGCGUAAAGCGCGCGCAGGCGGUUUCUUAAGUCUGAUGUGAAAGCCCCCGGCUCAACCGGGGAG
rnacentral:rRNA from 1 species